rnacentral:rRNA from 1 species
AUACGUAGGUGGCAAGCGUUGUCCGGAAUUACUGGGUGUAAAGGGAGCGUAGGCGGGAAUGCAAGUUAGAUGUGAAAUACCAGGGCUCAACCCUGGGGCUGCAUCUAAAACUGCAUUUCUUGAGUGAAGUAGAGGCAAGUGGAAUUCCUAGUGUAGCGGUGAAAUGCGUAAAUAUUAGGAGGAACACCAGUGGCGAAGGCGACUUGCUGGGCUUUAACUGACGCUGAGGCUCGAAAGCGUGGGUAGCAAACAGGAUUAGAUACCCUGGUAGUCCACGCUGUAAACGAUGAUUACUAGGUGUGGGGGGACUGACCCCUUCCGUGCCGGAGUUAACACAAUAAGUAAUCCACCUGGGGAGUACGACCGCAAGGUUGAA